CAGCCACGUCACGCCCAUCCUCUCUCCAACGAACGAACUCCCAAAGCCCGCAUUCGCCCCAUAAAUACCCCGAGGAAGCCCAGAAUCCAGCAGAGCUACAUCCCAAUCCAAUCUGAUCCAAUCCAAGAUCGUCGUGCUCCUUCUGAAAAGUGUCGAUCGAAGCGGAUACUUAGCUAGCUAGGCGAUGGCCCCGAGCGCGUCGAUGCUGUUCCUGAGCUACCACCAGCUGCACCACGGCCCCGCCGACGCGCCGCACGUCGACAAGGAUGGCGCCGGCGCGGGCACCGGCGGCUUCAGGUUCGGCUUCGGUAAUGUCUUCUUCUCCCUCGGCGUCCUGGCGCCGAAGCGGCGGGAUGCGGCGGUGCACGACGGGAAGCAGAGGGCGCGUCAGGCCGGCGGCGAGGAGGAGGAGGAGGAGCCCGCGACGCUGGCGAGCAAGUUCGAUGAGGCCGGGGACAUGGUUUACAGCUGUGGGCUGGCUACCAGUGCUGAAUCCGGCGGACAGGCGGAGGAUCCGGCCCACAGCUCUAACUGGGCCUCCACCAGAAUUCUGCCCCAAACUUUACUUAACCCCCCUGCCCCAACCGCCAUGAAGGGGAAAAAGAACUCGACACCCCCAACCUCUGACCAAUGGAGAAGUAAAGUGGGGCAAAAGAUCCAAUUUCUCCCGUGCUGCUUCCCCCGGCGUUCGCUGCCCCUUCCGACCAGCCGGCGCAUCACGCACGGCACGCCAUGAAGAUCGCGGUGGAGGGAUGCAUGCACGGUGAGCUGGACAAGGUCUACGACACGAUGCAGCGGCUCGAGGCGGCCGAGGGCAUCAAGAUCGACCUCCUCAUCUGCUGCGGCGACUUCCAGGCUGUAAGGAAUGAGAGUGAUUUACAGUGUGUAAACGUCCCACCAAAGUUUCGUACCAUGAACUCGUUUUGGAAGUACUACUCUGGGCAAGCAGUUGCCCCAUACCCAACUAUCUUCAUCGGCGGGAAUCAUGAAGCAGCCAAUUAUUUGUGGGAACUGUACUAUGGAGGAUGGGCAGCACCUAACAUCUACUUCUUGGGGUUUGCUGGUGUUGUUAAGUUUGGAAAUAUUCGAAUUGGUGGAAUGUCAGGAAUACAUAAGCAACAUGAUUAUCACCGAGGACAUCAUGAGAGGCCUCCAUACGAUAAUGCUACUAUACGAUCAGUGUACCAUGUAAGGCAUUACGAUGUUCUCAAGCUAAUGCAUGUGAAGGAGCCUCUAGAUAUAUUCAUGUCACAUGACUGGCCUCUGGGCAUUACUGAAUAUGGAAACUGGGAGAGGCUCCUUCGAGAAAAACCGUUCUUCACAGAAGAGGUCCACCAGAGAAAACUAGGCAGCGAAUCUGCAGCAAAAUUGUUGAACAAAUUAAAACCACCGUACUGGUUUUCAGCUCAUCUUCAUUGUAGGUUUCCAGCUAUCAUUCAACAUGGUGAGGAUGGACCUACGACUAAGUUCCUUGCACUCGAUAAGUGCCUCCCCGGGCGGAAUUUUUUGCAGGUAAUAGACAUUCCAUCCAAUCCAGGACCAUAUGAAAUCCAGUAUGAUGAAGAAUGGCUUGCAAUAACACGGAGAUUCAAUAGUGCUUUCCCCUUAACUCGGAUGCCAUGUACAAUUCGGAACGAAGAACUUGACAUUCAAGAUGACCGGCAGUGGGUUAGGAGCAAGUUGAAUGCUAGAGGGGCUAAGACAUUUGAUUUUGUCCAGACUGCUCCACCUUAUGAUCCGUCCAGGCCAGUUUAUAAUCCCCCCAUAGCAGUUCCUUGCAGAAACCCACAAACUGAAUCAUUUCUCCAGUUUUUAGAGCUCCCAUAUCUGCUGGACUCGUCUAAUCCUGGCGGUGUUGAUAUAAAUGUAUCGAGCUCUCAGGCAGCACCUGCACUAGACAACGACGACAUAGAGCUCCCCGAUGAAGUUGAAGACGACGAAGUUGAUGAGGAGUGAAGCACUUAAAGUAGUUCUGUUGUAUUAUCCCUGGGUCCAGGGUUUUGUUGCCAUAUCUUGAUGGAUGUCAUUACCUCUGUAGAGCUUAACUGCAGAAGGAAAACUAACUUGUAGACCGUAGUACCGUACAGUAACCUUGCUUGAUUACGAGGUGUAACAGGAGUUAUAUGCUAGCACAAGAAUUUUUUAGAGAUAA